AUUGAACGCUGGCGGCAUGCCUUACACAUGCAAGUCGAACGGCAGCGGGGGAGAAGCUUGCUUUUCCUGCCGGCGAGUGGCGAACGGGUGAGUAAUACAUCGGAACGUGCCCUGUAGUGGGGGAUAACUAGUCGAAAGAUUAGCUAAUACCGCAUACGACCUGAGGGUGAAAGUGGGGGACCGCAAGGCCUCAUGCUAUAGGAGCGGCCGAUGUCUGAUUAGCUCGUUGGUGGGGUAAAGGCCUACCAAGGCGACGAUCAGUAGCUGGUCUGGGAGGACGAUCAGCCACACUGGGACUGAGACACGGCCCAGACUCCUACGGGAGGCAGCAGUGGGGAAUUUUGGACAAUGGGCGAAAGCCUGAUCCAGCAAUGCCGCGUGUGUGAAGAAGGCCUUCGGGUUGUAAAGCACUUUUGUCCGGAAAGAAAUGGCUCUGGUUAAUACCUGGGGUCGAUGACGGUACCGGAAGAAUAAGGACCGGCUAACUACGUGCCAGCCGCCGCCGUAAUAC
rnacentral:rRNA from 1 species